rnacentral:rRNA from 1 species
UACAGAGGUCUCAAGCGUUGUUCGGAUUCAUUGGGCGUAAAGGGUGCGUAGGCGGCGCGGUAAGUCGGGUGUGAAAUCUUGGAGCUUAACUCCGAAACUGCAUUCGAUACUGCCGUGCUUGAGGACUGGAGAGGAGACUGGAAUUUACGGUGUAGCGGUGAAAUGCGUUGAUAUCGGAAGGAACGCCGGUGGCGAAAGCGACGUGCUGGACCUCUUCUGACGCUGAGGCGCGAAAGCUAGGGGAGCGAACGGG